rnacentral:rRNA from 1 species
CCUACGGGUGGCAGCAGUCGAGAAUCAUUCACAAUGGGGGAAACCCUGAUGGUGCGACGCCGCGUGGGGGAAUGAAGGUCUUCGGAUUGUAAACCCCUGUCAUGUGGGAGCAAAUUAAAAAGAUAGUACCACAAGAGGAAGAGACGGCUAACUCUGUGCCAGCAGCCGCGGUAAUACAGAGGUCUCAAGCGUUGUUCGGAAUCACUGGGCGUAAAGCGUGCGUAGGCUGUUUCGUAAGUCUUGUGUGAAAGGCGCGGGCUCAACCCGCGGACGGCACAUGAUACUGCGAGACUAGAGUAAGGGAGAGGGAACCGGAAUUCUCGGUGUAGCAGUGAAAUGCGUAGAUAUCGAGAAGAACACUCGUGGCGAAGGCGGGUUCCUGGACAUUAACUGACGCUGAGGCACGAAGGCCAGGGGAGCGAAAGGGAUUAGAUACCCCGGUAGUC